UGCAGUAGAUACGGGCGGAUUGAGUUCGGCAGGGGAGACUGAAUUUCUGGGAGCGGGAAAUGGGCAGAUAUCAGGAGGAACACCGGUGGGAAGGCGGGUCUUGGGCUGAUACUGACGCUGAGGAGCGAAAGCGUGGGGAGCGAACAGGAUUAGAUACCCUGGUAGUCCACGCCGUAAACGUUGGGCGCUAGGUGUGGGGGCCAUUCCACGGUCUCCGUGCCGCAGCUAACGCAUUAAGCGCCCCGCCUGGGGAGUACGGCCGCAAGGCUAAAACUCAAAGGAAUUGACGGGGGCCCGCACAAGCGGCGGAGCAUGUUGCUUAAUUCGAUGCAACGCGAAGAACCUUACCUAGGCUUGACAUGCACGGAAAUCUCGCAGAGAUGCGGGGUCCGUAAGGGCCGUGCACAGGUGGUGCAUGGUUGUCGUCAGCUCGUGUCGUGAGAUGUUGGGUUAAGUCCCGCAACGAGCGCAACCCUCGUUCCAUGUUGCCAGCACGUGAUGGUGGGGACUCAUGGGAGACUGCCGGGGUCAACUCGGAGGAAGGUGGGGAUGACGUCAAAUCAUCAUGCCCCUUAUGUCUAGGGCUGCAAACAUGCUACAAUGGCCGGUACAAAGGGCUGCGAUACCGUGAGGUGGAGCGAAUCCCAAAAAGCCGGUCUCAGUUCGGAUUGGGGUCUGCAACUCGACCCCAUGAAGUUGGAGUCGCUAGUAAUCGCAGAUCAGCAACGCCGCGGUGAAUACGUUCCCGGG
rnacentral:rRNA from 1 species